rnacentral:rRNA from 1 species
AUUGAACGCUGGCGGCAGGCUUAACACAUGCAAGUCGAGCGGAGCGAGGGUGCUUGCACCUUAGCUUAGCGGCGGACGGGUGAGUAAUGCUUAGGAAUCUGCCUAUUAGUGGGGGACAACAUUCCGAAAGGAAUGCUAAUACCGCAUACGCCCUACGGGGGAAAGCAGGGGAUCUUCGGACCUUGCGCUAAUAGAUGAGCCUAAGUCGGAUUAGCUAGUUGGUGGGGUAAAGGCCUACCAAGGCGACGAUCUGUAGCGGGUCUGAGAGGAUGAUCCGCCACACUGGGACUGGAACACGGCCCAGACUCCUACGGGAGGCAGGAGUGGGGAAUAAUGGACAAUGGGCGGAAGCCUGAUCCAGCCAUGCCGCGUGUGUGAAGAAGGCCUUUUGGUUGUAAAGCACUUUAAGCGAGGAGGAGGCUGCUGAGACUAAUACUCUUGGAUAGUGGACGUUACUCGCAGAAUAAGCACCGGCUAACUCUGUGCCAGCCGCCGCGGUAACAC